AUGCUCCACGACAUGGAGGUUCACAACCGGGACGUCAAUCUCUUCAGCGCGAUUUUGCGGAACGCUUUCAGAAUCUCCACAAGGACUAUUUUGCAGAGAACCCCACCUUCAAGGCAAGGAUGUUUCGCAAUAGAUGGCAUAUAUCCGCAGUGGGCAACUUUUGUGAAGACAAUUCCAAAUCCCAAAGAUGAGAAGAACAAAAAUUUCUCUCGGUUUCAAGAAGCAUGUCGGAAGGAUGUCGAACGAGCCUUUGGUGUUCUGCAAGCUCGUUUUGCUAUUGUACGUGGACCGCCAGGGUAUUGGGAUCUGGAGACACUCGGAGAAGUGAUGACAGCUUGUAUCAUCCUGCAUAACAUGAUAAUAGAAGAUGAGCGUGGAAGUCGUGUAGACUACCGCUACGAUAACAUGGGAGAACUAGUGACACCUUCUCACCGAGAGGCGGCUACAUUGACUCAGUUUCUUCAAGCUCAGAGUGAUAUUCGAGACAAACAAGUUCACUGUUAG
rnacentral:rRNA from 1 species